rnacentral:rRNA from 1 species
GAGUUUGAUCCUGGCUCAGAACGAACGCUGGCGGCAGGCCUCAAACAUGCAAGUCUAGGGGGUGUAGCAAUACAUCACCGGCGGACGGGUGCGUAACACGUGGGAAUAUACCUUUCGGUACGGAACAACUGAGGGAAACUUCAGCUAAUACCGUAUACGUCCUAGCGGAGAAAGAUUUAUCGCCGAAGGAUUAGCCCGCGUUCGAUUAGCUUGUUGGUGAGGUAAUGGCUCACCAAGGCGACGGUCGAUAGCUGUUCUGAGAGGAAGAUCAGCCACACUGGGACUGAGACACGGCCCAGACUCCUACGGGAGGCAGCAGUUGGGAAUCUUGGACAAUGGGGGAAACCCUGAUCCAGCCAUGCCGCGUGAGUGAUGAAGGCCUUCGGGUUGUAAAGCUCUUUUACCCGGGAAGAUAAUGACUGUACCGGGAGAAUAAGCUCCGGCUAACUUCGUGCCAGCAGCCGCGGUACGC